UUUAGUGGAUUUGGAUCACCUAUUUUAUCAUGCUCUGUUGAAAACGGGUACCAAUGUUCAACCCACCUUCACCCCACUCUUCUAUAUAAACUUGCCUAGCGAAGCAAAGAAGCCCUUAAAAGUUUCCGGAAAAAGUCUUCAAUCCGGCUUCAUCUCUCUCUCCGGCGCAUCUACCACGCGUGCUCUCUAUUUGGCACUAUCUUUUCGCACUAAACAAAGGUUAUUCCCAGGACCAGUUUAUCAGUAUUUUGGACGUAGGGUUUGGGCUUUGAUCCCGGCUUAAAGAGUCUGGACUCCGGAGAUGUCGCCUCAGUCUUCGGGACUGUUUCUUCAACCUAUCCCCGUUCUUUGGAUUGAGUAGUGUCGGAAAAUAGGUGUAACAUCUCUUAACCUUUCAAGGUCAAUAUACAUCUUUGCUUUAUGGCUGAUAAUGUAGUUCAUAUAACUACAUUCCAGUCCAAAGCAAAUUUUCAUUAUUGCCUUUGUGUUUUUGAGGGUGAAAGUUUUCACCGCCUUUGUGUGGAUAAUGUUCAGCAAGAGACCUAAAGGCAGAGCUGCAACAAAUAUUAAGGGAUUUAAAGACGUUAAACACUUAUAAUGAGACAGACGAAACGCCCCUCCUUAAAGACGUUAAACACUUACAAUGAAACAGACGAAACGCCUCUCAUUCAGUUGACGGAAACAAAGCGCCUCUUUCUCAGUUGACAGAAAGGAAGCGAAAUGCCUCUCCUUCAAUGAAAACGAAGCGCCUCUCCUUCAAUGAAAACGAGGUGCCUCUCCUUCAACAAAAACGAAGCCCUCUCCUGUACAAAAAAUCAAAAGGAAGCGUCCCUCCUCCAGUUGACAUAAACGAAAACGAAGUGCCUUGCCUUCAACGAACAAAGUGCCUCUCCUUCAGUUGCCGGAUGACUGAAAUUAAGCGCCUCUCAGUUUGUUUAGAAAAUUUGAUGACCUCGAAGUGAGGUUUUCUUUUUCCCUUUGUUGGAUGAGGAUGGGGUGAGUCGGGCUCUUAGAGGAGUGCCUCUACCAACUGGGCUACCGGCUCACCCCGCUAAGUCGGGUUGUGCAUCAAAAAAUGUCCUCGGAACUCCAAAGAUGAAUGUGGUUUUAAAGGAAGCCAUUUUUUUUUUUGGGGUUUCAGACAUGAUUAUCGUUGUAUUGUUUAUUCCGGCUGCGCGUGUUUCAGUUGUAUCUUGAUCUAAUGUUUUUUGUUGGUUGAAGUUGGUUUCAUCUUCCUUUGAA